GAUGGCGGAACGGGCAGCUGGCAGGAGAGGGCAAGGCCCAGAAGACCCUCUGGUGCUGAAGACGGUGGGAACUCCGCCAGGGAGGGCGUGGCCGAAAAGGACCUUCCGUCUCUAAAGAUGGCGGACCGCUGCGGGGAGGGCGUGGCCAAUAAGGCCCUCGGGCGCUGAAGACGUCUGAACGCAGCGUGCAGGAGAGCAGCUGCGAAGACCCUCCGGCGCUGAAGAUGGCGACCGCUGCGGGGAGGGCACAGCGAGAAGAACGCUCGAGUCUGGGUCUUAAUCACCUCUUCUUAAAAGGACACCAUCAUACAUGCCCAAAAUAUCCUUUUACCUUUAUCAGCUCUUUAAAGGUUUAAACCUCUGAAGACCUGGGGGUCAAGACCUCAACAGGAGGAAUGGUGGGAAGAGGCAGGUGAGCAGCUUCCCCCAACACAGUUACAAAGAAAAUGAAGUCAGCAACUGUGAACCGAAACCAUGAACCAAAAUAAAACGACACUGUUUUGGGUCUCCUGUUGUCCUCCUUCCCCGGAAACGUAUCUUCCAGGGCUCUCAGCACCCUCCUGACAGCCAGGCCUCCCUGUGUAUCUGGCUCUCAUAUUCCUUUUGGCUUCAUCUCCACGAAGGACACAGGAAGGCAUCCUUGC